rnacentral:lncRNA from 1 species
GAACAGGAGACCAUCCCCUUUGCUGCACCUGUUACCUAUACCCGAACAAGAAGAACCCCUAAGUGGCAACCUUUUGAUUAUCAGUUGUUAAGAAUAAUAUGUUACAGUUGCUGUUUGUAAACUCCUUAUUUAUCUUGUACCCCGGUCCCAGGAUAUUGUUAAGAAUAAUACGUUCCAGUUGCUGUUUGUAAACUCCUUACUUACCUUGUACCCCUGUCCCAGGUUUACUUACCUUGUACCCCUGUCGCAAAUUGCUGUACCCCAUAUUUUUGUUCCUUGUUCAGCCAGGCCCUGCCCCCUCUCCCAAGUUGCUGUACCCUGUGUUUCUUGUUCUGUGUUCAGCCAGGCACUGCCCCCACUGCUCCUAGACUCCCACAUGGCAACAUUGUAUCCCUUUCCCAAGUUGCUGUACCGCUCUGAGGAGGAAGAUGACAUACUGACUUUUAUGCAAACGAGAGAGACCAGAGACUUAUGGGAUGCACCCAGACUGGAAAAGACCCCAAAACAACGAGCCACGCAAAAGGGAAGGAAUAGAACCAGCACCAUCUAACAAGGAAGACCCAGAGGAGUCCCCUGACUUCUUUCCAGAGGCCGACAUAACCUCGAGGAGACUCGACUGGGAUGACAGCCUAGACUACGAGCCUGAAAGAACGAGUCUUCCCGGGGACUCCCGUGAGGAAGGAAGGCCCAGCUCUGCCCUAGUGACAGAGCUGCACAGAUCCUCCUCUUCUGCGGUGUCCAGUGGGAGCAGUGGCGGUGUGCGCGACCCCUCGGGCCCCCACCCCAGAGCUGUGCUGCUUAAUAAAGGCCUUUUUAAAAGGAGCUGGUCUCCUGGCCCGUUUAUCACAGCUUGGGGGCUCAUCCGGGAUAGCCACGCCCUGAAGAGGACCAGGGACGGGACGGCCGCCCACUCUAUUGGGCCUCCGGGGGACAGCUGGCUAUACCAGACCCAGAAGAACAGCCUGGGAUCGACAUCGCAGAAGAGCGCCGGAUUGGGAAUUUUCCUAGGAAAUCAGAUAACUCCUAAUACUUGAAUUUCAUUCUGUGUCCCUUCAAGAAAGGAAGAUAAAAUCUAUAUAACGAAAUAAAUUAGUAUUCACUUUUUCA